CCAAAGUUCAGGACCCUUUCUGUCUGUGGCUCAGCCAGACACUCGUGACUGUCAGUUUAACAAGGAGCUCCAAGCUGCCAAGCACUGUCCCAGAACUUAUCAUCCUGCGAGCUAACCUGAAGGAUGCAGCAAUGACCAGGAGGUACCCAGAAGCGUGGCCUUAGGAGCAUCACCCCAGGACAGUGGCGAUGACACUGAAGUGAUUUACGGCGAGGUAAUGAGUAGAGCCGUGGCUAUGGAGUCUUCGCCAGGACCUUUGUGCAGACACUUACAGACCUUGCGAGGUCAAAGACCCCCUUUGCGGGUGAUCCCACUCAGGGUCCGAGUUUGCAUAAACUGCCCAAGGACCAUACUCUGGACUGCGACUGCGUCUCUGUUUAAGAUUCCUGCAGGCCGAGUGAGUGUGCAGUUCCUGAUAGCCAUCAACUGAUCGUCACGCACCAGCCCUCAGAGCAGAGAGCAUGGGUGAAACCAAAGAUAAGCGACCUGCCCCAGGCAGAGGUGGCCUCUAGUUGCAGAAGAAGAGUUGUGCGGGAAGCAGGAACAGGAAGUCAGGGAAAGAGUUAGAUGCGACAGCUGAACUCUGUGCUUUUCAAAAACUGGGUCUCUGGUUGAAGAGUUUUCGCCUCUCUGGUCCUUCAUCUGCCACACUGCUUUCCCAUCCCCUUUCUAUGGGAUACUCUAGCGGUCUGUAUCUUAAGUGCCCGAAAUGGACGGUGGGAUGCAGUGCCUUGCGGCUUUGCAGUUUACGGCACAUGUCUACAGUGUGGCUAAGAUCUAUAUUUUUAAUUUCAGUAAGUUUAAUGAUUUAAGAUUUAAGCGGCACCAUGUGACCGGUGAGUACCAUAUUGAGGAGUGCGGCUCUCGCCUGUUAGGAAACGGGAUGCCCUGUCUGUUUGCAUUAGUACUGAGAACGUCAGAAUGUGCGUGUGUUUUGCCUCAAGAUCUGACUUGAAGUAAGAUAUAGUAGUGAGAUCUCUGGGAACAAGGCACACUCCCCAGCUUUGACCUAUCGGUUGUGGGUGCCUCGGUUUCCUCAUUUGUCAGCUGUGGAUGGUAACGGUUGCCCCAUUGGUGAGGUUGUUUGAAAACUAAACGUGACAUUAGACGGUGACCAUCUGAAUGACUGAGCCAAGCCCGACUCUGUCAGAGCUAAUAAGAGGGCAGCACAUAUCAUCUUCUUGGGGUUAUACCAGGUCCCCAGCACCUGAAGCUUUACCAUGGCAGCAUAGAGACCAUUUUCUUGAUCUGGAAGCCAAAGUGGAAUGAUGUCAGUCCAGACUCCAAAGUCAAAGGGGACCCUGUGUGAGCAAGGAAUGAUUCACGUUUUCACAAGUCUCUGGAGCUUCCUCCUUCCCGGUGCCUGAGGAGAUAAGAGAGCGUUUCCUCCCAGGCCAUCCCCAACCAGACUCCUGUCCAAAGGGCUAAAAGUUCUUCUGGAGAUUUUACCCUCACUGCGGAGCACAGAUCAACAAGACAGUGCACCAGGUUUUUAAGAUGAAAUGCGCCCAGGCCUGAGAGAACAUAGACCCCCUCAUCACUUUCUUUUCUGCCUUCCAAUACAUUAAGAUGGAAAUGUCUUCAGAAUACAGGAAUGCUUUCUUCGGUUGCUCUGGACUCAGCUUGGUGUAAACGGCUGCUAUGGGAUGUCUACAUAUGAGCAGUUCGUCACCAAUGCCACCGAGAAGACACGACCAUGGGCUAGGGUCCUCUUUGGAUUUGAUUUGGGCAAGGGUGGGCCUGAUUCCUGAAAUGUCUUUUCAGCUCUAGAGUACAAGAUUCACCGCUACCUUUGCUUUUCAAAUUGACACUGUGAUGGGGCUGUCAAGGACGGGCAAUUCAACAGCAUGUCCGAAUACUCAAACACCUGCGAUGGCAGAGCAGGUGGCCACGAUGAGUGCGCUGCACUGGAUAGAUUCGGAUGAACUGUAGCGACCACCUUUAGAGGAAGCUGCUGCUUCUUGUUGCUAGGUAGUGGUACCAUGUAGGAAGCCAGCCUUCGCGGACAGUUCUCCAGCUUUUCCAAGCAAUACCAGAAAUCUGGGGUUUUUUUUUUUUUAAGGUCAAACCUCACAUUUUUAAAGGUUGACUCAAAAAUCUGUAAUCUGAGCCAACAACCUGUUUAGGAUGAGCUCUGCGCUCCUCACAAACCCAGGGCCACAUCAGGAGCCCUGAUCCUAAACUAACCAUAGAAUGUCACCUUAAAAAGAAAUUUGAGUGUUAAAACAGUCCAGUCCCCUUGUUGUUGUUGCUGUUGUUGUUGUUUUACUGUAACUCUUUCCGCUAAAAAAUCAAUCCUAUAACCUUUGGCCCAACCUGAUGAAGUCCAGGCUGAGCAGAGAAACCAGAGCAAACAAGAGUCCUGCUAUUUCCUGGAGUCAGCACCCCUGUGUCAAAACGGUGACAUUCAGAGCUUUGUGUUGCUGGUUUCAACUUUCCAGGUAGCUGAACCCCAAAGGCCCUGGUUAUCGUCAAUUCCUGGGCAGCCAAGCUGUCAGACUUUUCCCACGGCUGAGUCAGAGAGCUGCUUUCCCAGAAUUGUUAGGAGACCAAUACCCAGGAGGGGUCAUGGCUUCCCACCCAAAUGGUCCUGGAAAUGGAGGGAGUUGAGUGUCGGCUCCACGGGAGUCUCCCUGUGCCCUUCUUCCCAGCUGGGUCUGUGAUGUGUGCCUAGCUCUGCUUUCUCAUUUACUGCCCACCUUCUACAAACUAACAAAGAGGAUGCUCCAUGGGACCAGAACCCUUGCCCAGCUUGUCCAAAGCUGAGUCCUAGGUCUCAUAACAGCCAAGGAAAACGUCUGCAGGCUGUGGUCCCAGAGGGUAACGGCUCAUGGCAGCACCAUUGUAGCCUCCUCAAAGGUAGGCGCUUCGAUUCCUCCUUGAGUCUACACAGCACCAUUCUUUCGGCUGCCAUCUGCUCCGCCACUGGAGGUGCUGUGAGUCAGUUCUCAUUUGUGGAGUUCUGGGCCCCAGAGACAGGAAUGUUAGCAAUUGAGGAAUGGCUGUCAAGGUGGCCUUGCUGUGUCUCCAGAACCAGGAAGACCAGGGCUUCCUGAAGAAGCCUGCUGUUUCUCUGGAGACCUUUAUCAGAGAGACUGCUCUUCAAACACAGAUCUGAAGCCAGACCAUUUACAUCAGGACUGGGGUUAUCUCAGGGAGUCACACGUACUGAGCCUGCAUCCAUCUGCCAAGUCACAGCCUCCAGCACGCACACAUCUUGUUUCUUUGAAUUUCCGGAGGUUUUCUAGUCAAGGUCAAACACUUUUAUUCGUUAUUCAAUGUCCUAAAAGCAGAUAGUGUUAGCCAGGGGUAAGAGAGAAGCAGAAAGAGAACAAGAGACGGCAACUCAGAAGUCCUGAACACAGGACACAGCUGACAACGCUGAUGGCACUCUCGCUUUCGAUGCAUGCUUCAAAGCCAGAUGGUCUGGCUUUCCAAAAUGUACCUUUCUCAAUCACAUUUGGACACACACAUUUUAAAAAAAAAAAAAAACUAUCAUCCUUGGUCCCAGCCACAUUUCCAUGGGAAUGCAAUCAUUAACUAUGUGACAAGAGAAUAUCUUGGCCCCUGUCACUCCCUCCUAGGAUUCUAGACUCCAUGGAGAACAUCAGGUGCCAUGUGCAUGCGUGUAUGCAUGUACAUGUAUGGGUGUGUGUGUGUAUGUGUGUGUAUGUGUGUGGUUUGGUUAUAAAGAUGGCCUUUUUUUUUUCCUAAAAACAUGUCUCUGAAAAUGCUUCUGAAUGGUACAGAGCCAAUGACCCAGAUCAGAAGGCCUGGGAGGAUGACACCAUCCCAAUGACUCAACAUUCUUGGUGUCUGAAAAAUAAGGAAUUCUAUGAAGAACAAAACAGCGUUUCUUUUGCGUCUAAGGAUCCCCUGUUGGUUAUCUGACCAUGCUGAAUGGAGUGAAGGAGGCCAGCACACCCAGCCAAUGGCCUUCAGGUGCCUGACCACCCGCUUACAUGUCUAACUGUGAGCCAUGAAACCCAGACAAUGGCCUUUUAGGUGCCUGACCACCCGCUUACAAGUCUAGCUGCGUGCCGUGAACUACUCCAAGACUUCACUGGAUUCGCCGACAUGGGCCACAUCCACUCCAAGGCUAUGAAGCUACCCCAGCACUGUGCAGAAGGCAGCCUGGACCAUCAUCAAGAAGUAAUGCAUGCACCUGGUUAAGGAGUUCCACACCAACAAUCACGUGUACGUGGAGAUCGCCAUGCUCCCCAGCAUAGAAGUUCUAUGACAAGCUAGCAGGCAAUGUCACGCGGCUGAUGAGGCGGAUUCGGAUAGGUCCUGGGAGCCCUGGCUCAAUCAAGUUGCAGGAGGGAGAGAGGGGAGAAAGGAUAAGUAUGUUCCUAAGGUCUCAUCCCCAGGUCAGCAGAUCACUGGGGUAGACCCGACACUAAGGAAAUGCUUGAAGCUUCUGGUUUGCCACAGCAUCUCCCACCUGCAGGUCACUCUGCCUACAGUUGGGAAGAAUUUCAGAAUGCCAUGUGGCACCAUCCGAAUCUGUUCUGGAAUGUUUUCAAUAAAUCCGAGGAUAGCUCAAAAUAAUAAUAUUCUUUAAGUACUUACAUAUGUCCCUAUACGUUAUGUAUAAAACGGCCUAAGCAGGGGAUCAGUAAGGAGCUAGGAGACACAGAGAACACUCGGAACCGCUAUCCCUGACAGACAUCUGUACAGAACUCUACUCCCCAAGACGACAGGAGAUGCAUUCUUAAGCAGACUGAGGUACACCAUAUGCUAGCUCCUAUACUGGAUCGCAGAACUUCUAAGAAGAUUGAAAUGACACACAAAAUGUUCUUGGACUUUGAUGAAAUGACAUUAAAAAUAAGUAGCAAAAACAGACUUGAACAAGCCAUAUGGGUUUAGAAGUCAACACUCUCCCGACUUAAAAAUGGCCAAUAAGCAAAACCAUGAGGGAAAUUCGAAAACAUUUUGAGUUGAAAAAUAAAAACGAAUCGAAUCUACAGUCUGCAGAACCUUAGAGGACAGAGCUGAAGCUACUGAGAGGGAACUUUGUCCUUAUAGACGGCUCCUUCACAAGGUGUAGGGCCAGAGAGAGGUGACUUGGGGGCUAAAGGCACCUACUUCUCUUGCUUUGCCUCCAAACGUCCAUGUGAUGACUCCCAACCUCCUGAGUAUCUAUACACUGAAGCAUACACAUAAAUAAAUAAAUCUUGAAAAUAGAGAACAAAACUAAUCUUUCAACAAUCAAGGGGAUGGAGAGAUGAUCCAGCUCUUGUGGUCUGGUUCCCAGUACCCACAACCAUCUAUAGCUGCUGUUCCAAGGGAUCCAACACCCUCUGUCUUCCUUGGGCACAUAUGUGGUACACAUGCAUACAUGCAGACAAAUACUCGUACACAUAUUUUUUUUAAAAAUACCUUAAAAGAAUAUCUAAACAUUGAUGACUUAAACUUCUCUCUUGAGAAGACAGCAGAGCUAGAAAAGGAGCAGAUGAAACCAAAGCAGCAUGAGGAGGAAGAAAGAUUAUGGUGAAAAUGACUGAAUCCCAGCUUUCAAAAGUAACAGGAAAAAAUCAAUGAAAUCAAAGGUUGGGUCUUUGAAGGUAUCAACCAACUUGAAAAAACUUUAGCCAACCUAUCAAGAAAAAAGAGAAAAGACUCAAAUGCUAGAGCCAGGAAUGGAACAGUGAGGAUUGCUCCUUUCCCUCCAGGAGAAGUACAACACCCAUCACCUUCCACAGGUUCAG